rnacentral:rRNA from 1 species
AGUGAACGCUGGCGGUAGGCCUAACACAUGCAAGUCGAACGGCAGCACAGGAGAGCUUGCUCUCUGGGUGGCGAGUGGCGGACGGGUGAGGAAUACAUCGGAAUCUACCUUUUCGUGGGGGAUAACGUAGGGAAACUUACGCUAAUACCGCAUGCGACCUACGGGUGAAAGUGGGGGACCGCAAGGCCUCACGCGAUGAGAAUAGCCGAUGUCCGAUUAGCUAGUUGGCGGGGUAAUGGCCCACCAAGGCGACGAUCGGUAGCUGGUCUGAGAGGAUGAUCAGCCACACUGGAACUGAGACACGGUCCAGACUCCUAUGGGAGGCAGCAGUGGGGAAUAUUGGACAAUGGGCGCAAGCCUGAUCCGGCCAUACCGCGUGGGUGAAGAAGGCCUUCGGGUUGUAAAGCCCUUUUGUUGGGAAAGAAAUCCUGUCGAUUAAUACUCGGUGGGGAUGACGGUACCCAAAGAAUAAGCACCGGCUAACUUCGUGCCAGCCGCCGCCGUAAGAC